UAAAAAAAUACUGGUGGUGCAGUAUUCUAGUCAGAAACAGGUGCGAAGAAGACGGGGUUAAAAUAUCGUCGAAGGGCAUAUCGAUGAAGUUUCUUGUGCUGGCUUCCGUUGCCCAAACGGGGGCUUGUGCUGGAAGUUAAGAUUGCUGGGUAAGACGUAAUGGCAUACGUGUGAUCCCCAACAGUCGUGGAGACUCUACAGGGUGGUUGUACGCUACGGAGCGCAACUACUCUCUGAGAUUAAACCUGCUAUGCGGCAUCAAAGCUGUGUACAGAGUAGCUUGUUUUGAGUGAAGUUUUGGGAGUAAUGAACGGCGUUUGCUUUGUUGGCCGACAACAACCGUCCGAAUGCUUUAUGAAAUGAAUUUUGCAAAAGAAACUAAGCGUAGUUGUUUCUGCAAAGGAAAUCUUCUAGACUGCAAUUCAGGUAAGUCGGGGAUUAUAGUACGGUCUGAGUGGCGAUUCAGUUAAGCGUGUGGCGACACCGCUUGUGCGAAAUGAAAAGGAAACUGCUCUUUCGGCGACGAGGAGUUUUUGCACGGGAAAUCCUACUGAACCUAUGCCGUAAGGUUUAUCCGACUUAUCACCACCUUAUUUUUUUU
rnacentral:sRNA from 1 species